UAAUCUCAGCUGGUAAUAUAUGAGUGGUUCAAUCUCUCACCGUUACUCGCUGUGGUUGAA
rnacentral:pre_miRNA from 1 species